rnacentral:tRNA from 1 species
GGUCCGUCUGGUGUAACUGGUAACACAGUAGUUUGUGAGACUACAGUACAGGGUUCGAAUCCCUAGCGUGACCCCA